GGCAAGAUGGCCGAGUGGUUAAGGCGUCAGACUUGAAAUCUGAUCCUUCGGGGUCCUGGGUUCAAAUCCCAGUCUUGUCG
rnacentral:tRNA from 1 species